CCGCGGAGUGCCCGUCCAGCUAAUUGGAAGAGUGCUAUGAGGAAAGUCCGGGCUCCACAGGGCAGGAUGCUGGCUAACGGCCAGGCGGGGUGACCCUGACGGAAAGUGCCGCAGAAAAGAAGACUCUCACCUGCGCAUUAGCGUAAAGAGAAAAGCUGAAACGGUAGUGUAAGAGACUACCAGCACACUGGCAACAGCGUGGCUUGGUAAACCCCAUCCGGAGCAAACGCAAAUAGGAGCGCUAUGGUGUGGCCCGCACUGCGCUCGGGUUGCGCGCUAGAGACCAGCAGCAAUGCUGGUAGUAGAUAAAUGGUUGUCCGCGACAGAACCCGGCUUAUACGUCCACUUU
rnacentral:RNase_P_RNA from 1 species